AUUUUUAAGCGCCAGGACUGUGAAAAGGUACGGUUUUUAUGUUUCACAGUUGACGAGGUAAGGGUUUAUCGAAAGAUUCGGCGGAUGACCCUUCGGCCGAUAGUGGGUUGGUCGUGAGCGGCUUUUCAAAGAGCGGAAGUGAUUUCGUAACAAG
rnacentral:ncRNA from 1 species